rnacentral:tRNA from 1 species
GGUGAACUUAUAUAGGGUGGGCGGAAACAAUCUCGAAAACCGUUGUGCGGGUUCUCCCCGUACCGUGGGUUCGAAUCCCACCCUCUCCGCCA